rnacentral:piRNA from 1 species
UGGGUUGGGGGAGAGAUUUGCACC